GACGAACGCUGGCGGCGUGCUUAACACAUGCAAGUCGAACGGAAAGGCCCUGCUUUUGUGGGGUGCUCGAGUGGCGAACGGGUGAGUAACACGUGAGUAACCUGCCCUUGACUUUGGGAUAACUUCAGGAAACUGGGGCUAAUACCGGAUAGGAGCUCCUGCUGCAUGGUGGGGGUUGGAAAGUUUCGGCGGUUGGGGAUGGACUCGCGGCUUAUCAGCUUGUUGGUGGGGUAGUGGCUUACCAAGGCUUUGACGGGUAGCCGGCCUGAGAGGGUGACCGGCCACAUUGGGACUGAGAUACGGCCCAGACUCCUACGGGAGGCAGCAGUGGGGAAUAUUGCACAAUGGGCGGAAGCCUGAUGCAGCAACGCCGCGUGCGGGAUGACGGCCUUCGGGUUGUAAACCGCUUUCGCCUGUGACGAAGCGUGAGUGACGGUAAUGGGUAAAGAAGCACCGGCUAACUACGUGCCAGCAGCCGCGGUGAUACGUAGGGUGCGAGCGUUGUCCGGAUUUAUUGGGCGUAAAGGGCUCGUAGGUGGUUGAUCGCGUCGGAAGUGUAAUCUUGGGGCUUAACCCUGAGCGUGCUUUCGAUACGGGUUGACUUGAGGAAGGUAGGGGAGAAUGGAAUUCCUGGUGGAGCGGUGGAAUGCGCAGAUAUCAGGAGGAACACCAGUGGCGAAGGCGGUUCUCUGGGCCUUUCCUGACGCUGAGGAGCGAAAGCGUGGGGAGCGAACAGGCUUAGAUACCCUGGUAGUCCACGCUGUAAACGGUGGGUACUAGGUGUGGGGUCCAUUCCACGGGUUCCGUGCCGUAGCUAACGCUUUAGGUACCCCGCCUGGGGAGUACGGCCGCAAGGCUAAAACUCAAAGGAAUUGACGGGGCCCCGCACAAGCGGCGGAGCAUGCGGAUUAAUUCGAUGCAACGCGUAGAACCUUACCUGGGUUUGACAUGGAUCGGGAGCGCUCAGAGAUGGGUGUGCCUCUUUUGGGGUCGGUUCACAGGUGGUGCAUGGCUGUCGUCAGCUCGUGUCGUGAGAUGUUGGGUUAAGUCCCGCAACGAGCGCAACCCCUGUUCACUGUUGCCAGCACGUUAUGGUGGGGACUCAGUGGAGACCGCCGGGGUCAACUCGGAGGAAGGUGGGGAUGACGUCAAGUCAUCAUGCCCCUUAUGUCCAGGGCUUCACGCAUGCUACAAUGGCUGGUACAGAGAGUGGCGAGCCUGUGAGGGUGAGCGAAUCUCGGAAAGCCGGCCUCAGUUCGGAUUGGGGUCUGCAACUCGACCUCAUGAAGUCGGAGUCGCUAGUAAUCGCAGAUCAGCAACGCUGCGGUGAAUACGUUCCCGGGGCU
rnacentral:rRNA from 1 species